rnacentral:rRNA from 1 species
GAGUUUGAUCCUGGCUCAGAUUGAACGCUGGCGGCAUGCCUUACACAUGCAAGUCGAACGGCAGCACGGGGGCAACCCUGGUGGCGAGUGGCGAACGGGUGAGUAAUACAUCGGAACGCGUCCUGUAGUGGGGGAUAGCCCGGCGAAAGCCGGAUUAAUACCGCAUACGAUCUACGGAAGAAAGCGGGGGAUCGCAAGACCUCGCGCUAUAGGGGCGGCCGAUGGCAGAUUAGCUAGUUGGUGGGGUAAAGGCCUACCAAGGCGACGAUCUGUAGCUGGUCUGAGAGGACGACCAGCCACACUGGGACUGAGACACGGCCCAGACUCCUACGGGAGGCAGCAGUGGGGAAUUUUGGACAAUGGGGGAAACCCUGAUCCAGCAAUGCCGCAUGUGUGAAGAAGGCCUUCGGAUUGUAAAGCACUUUUGUCCAGAAAGAAAACCUUUGCACUAAUACUGUGAGGGGAUGACGGUACCGGAAGAAUAAGCACCGGCUAACUACGUGCCAGCAGCCGCGGUAAUACG